rnacentral:rRNA from 1 species
CUACUGCCGGCGACCGGCGCACGGGUGAGUAACACGUAUGGAACCUGCCCGCAGCAGGGGGAUAAGCGGAAGAAAUUCCGUCUAAUACCGCGUAACAACGUUGGGAGGCAUCUCCCGAUGUUUAAAGAUUUAUCGGCUGCGGAUGGCCAUGCGGCGCAUUAGCUAGUCGGCGGGGUAACGGCCCACCGAGGCGACGAUGCGUAGGGGUUCUGAGGGGAAGGUCCCCCACACUGGUACUGAGACACGGACCAGACUCCUACGGAAGGCAGCAG